GGGCGAAGGAAAUAGCGACUGAUGCGAUCAAACCAACUAAAAUGGAAAAGGAGGAAACUUGAAAAUGGAGAAGGAGGUGAGACAAUCACCGACAGUAAUGGGUGUCGUCAACGCGAUAAUAUAGAGGGGGUAGAUGAUGAUUGCGAAUAAGAAGAAAGGAGCAGGUAUUCAUGUGAAGGAGACGGCUAAAUCUUCGACGUCGAUCGCGAUGUCGAUAGCUGGCAGCUGGCCCAAGUCCCUUGGCCGUCGGUGGUGGUAAAUUUCGAUAAUGUCGACUGGAGUUUGGGAUUCAGUGGUUAGGGUUCAGAAAUAGUCUAGAGGAAUGAUGAGAGACGGGAAAUGAAGGAAAGAAAUUCUUAUUCUUACGGCUUUUUUUUUUUUUUUUU
rnacentral:misc_RNA from 1 species